AGAAAUUAGGUAUGGAUGUUGCAUCAGCCAGUCAGGAGAGGUUGCUACAGAAGUCUCUGAGUUAGGGCCAAAAAAUGCAUUGACUUAUUCUUCCUUUCCUUAUAGCCCUUUCUUAUCUUCUGAUACGGAGAAAGGCAGGAGCAGUUUGGUAAUAACACCCUGAGAAUGACCUAUAUACUUAUUGUGGUGAAGAGGUUUUGGGGAAAUGGACAUAUCGUAAUGAUGAUGUAAAAUGAGAGCUUUUGGGUUAAAAUGACUAACACAGCAGGGAAUUGACAAGAAUGGCCUGUGUGUGCUCAGUCUCUUAGUCUUAUCUAACUCUUCACAACCCCAUGGACUUAGCCUGCCAGGCUUCUCUGUCCAUGGGAUUUUCCAGGCAAGAAUACGGGAGUGUGUUGAUAUUCCAUACCUAGGAAUUGAAGCCGCAUCUCUUGUGUCUCCUGCAUUGGCAGGUGGAUUCUUUACCACUGUGCCACCUGGGAAGCCCUGACAAUAAUGGCCUGGCCCAUGCUAGAGAGAUAUGUAGCCUCACUUGUCUGGCAUCUUAUCCAAGAAGACUUCCUUUUCUCUGGUUCCCUGUGGAAUGCAUAUUAAGCCAUUGGAGAGAGAAGAGUGGACAAAUGUGAGGGCACGAUGGUUUUUGAGUGUCGGCCUUGGCGCGGCUGUCGAGAUCGGGAGAUACUGCAGUUUGUUCAUCGCGGGAAGGGUGUUUCCCAGGAUGGUUAAAGAGAAAAUUGCACUGAUGAAAGAAUAUAUUCAGUCAAAAUAAAAUAAUUCUCUGGAAAUGAAGAUUUCUCCCGUUGACCUGCAUUGUGUGUGUGUGUGUAUUUUUAAACAAAUUUUCAACUCUUUUUUAUUUUUAUUUUUUGUAACAACUGCCAGGAAAAAAAUUUAAACCUUGACCUUGAUGUUUUGAACUUUCCGAGUAAGUUGAUGUAUGUACAUCAUGAUUAAAGACCAAACACUGGCUAAUACCUACCUGGUAAAAACCAAUGGCAAAUUAAUUAAACAG
rnacentral:lncRNA from 1 species